rnacentral:sRNA from 12 species
AUAAAACGAGGAUUGCAAAGGACGGAACGUCCUUGCCGUUAAGUGGGGUGCUCAGUAAAAAUGCGUUAGCAUUUUACGCCGAAGGGGGA